GAAAAAUAUGACUAAAAUUCUCAAGUUUAUUUUUGUUACGGCUCUAUUUCUUUCCUUAGUUUUUGUCGCAACAGAAGUUGGUGGGGUGUAUAUUAAUAAUGAGAACAAUAUUGAUUGUGACACUGAUGCUGAUUGUCCACAAAGUGUGAACAUGUUUUACGCUAUUAAGUGCAUUGAUAAAAAAUGUAACUCAAUUGAGAUUCUAUGAGUACAAUUAUAUAUGAUUUUGUACUCUAAAAUGAUAGUAUAAAAAAUAUAGUAUUUAUCAACAAUGAAUUGGUCCAAGUAGUACUAAGAGUUUUGAUCCCCUUAAGCAUGUGGUAAGGGGUGAGUUCGAUUCUUGGCACAUGCGUAUAAAGAAAAUUCUUUUGGGAGGGGAGAACCCACCUUGUGUGCCCCAAAGAUUCUUCGAUGGAGAUUAAUCAUCGCUAAUGACGGUGAAAACCUCGUAUCAAUAUCAUGGUAAUAAAAAAGAAAAACAAAUAGAGUGUUUACUUUGAUUAUCUUCUCUCUUACUCCCUUCAAUCCAACCACAAUUUAGAAGUAUCACCAUGACAUCGAAUAAUAUUGCAGCUUAUUUCCACCCCACCACAUAUGAAUCGAUGCACUAAGCUUAAUAUUACUUUUGUUAUAGAGUAUAUAUAUAGAUAUAGAUUAGGUGUGUUUAAUACUGCCUCAAGUUCUUAAUAUAAAAUAAAUUUUACUUUUUAGA